UACGAAGGGGGCUAGCGUUGCUCGGAAUCACUGGGCGUAAAGGGUGCGUAGGCGGGUCUUUUAAGUCAGGGGUGAAAUCCUGGAGCUCAACUCCAGAACUGCCUUUGAUACUGAGGAUCUUGAGUUCGGGAGAGGUGAGUGGAACUGCGAGUGUAGAGGUGAAAUUCGUAGGUAUUCGCAAGAACACCAGUGGCGAAGGCGGCUCACUGGCCCGAUACUGACGCUGAGGUGCGAAAGCGUGGGGAGCAAACAGG
rnacentral:rRNA from 1 species